rnacentral:lncRNA from 13 species
AGUUUUAGGAGCUUUCUACAUAUUAAGGACACUAAUUCCUGAUCACAUAGACCACUUGCAGCUGUUUUCUCCCGACUGAAAUGGAGUCUCACUAUGUCACCCAAGCUAUUCUUGAACUCCUGGUUUCAAGUGAUCCACUCGCCUCAGCCACCCAAAAUACUGGGAUUACGGGGCCCGUCCGUUGUUUAAGAGUCGUUUAACUUCCAGAAAUGUGUGGAUCUUACAGUUUCACCUCUGUUAUGAGUUUCUCACUUCAUCGUCCUGUGGUUGGAGAAGUUUGUACGAUACCUGCACUUGAAAAUCAACUGAGACUUAAUCUGUGGCCUAACGCUUCCAGGUUUUGCUCAGACGGCGUUCCACUCUUCUCAUCAGACUGUUGUCCCUUUAGCAGCACACUGACAUUCAUCUUUGUAAGAGUCCCAUGGAACACACCUGUCACCAGGAGGGAGUGGGGCGUGGGACUCCCGAGCCAGAUGCUGGGUUUGAUUCUAAAACCGCUACUCGCCACUCACCAGCACCACUGACCAGAAGCUCAUCUUCUCUGGGCCUGCUUUUCCUCCCUUGGAAACAGAUUAUGAUGGCAAGCACCUUCCUCAUGAGUAGCUGGAGAUUAAGAGAAUUGACGUAAAAAGGAGAUUAUGAUCCCCAUGGGUGGUUAGGACAGGGAAUGGGUUGAUGGAAAAUGGAUGACAACCCCUUCUGGGGUUUGCAGGAGAGAAGUGGAAUGAGGAACCGUGGAGAUUAUGAUCACCCUUCAUGGAUUUCAAGGGGCAGAAGAGUAUUGAUUAAAAUCGAGUUGAUGGUAUGUCUUCCUCAUGGGCAGCUGGGAGAGUAAAAUCGGCCAUAGAAAAUGGAGAUUAUGACAACUGAUAAUCCUGAGUCAAGGGGGUUCAUGGAAAUGGGGAUAGUGCAAUAGCUCCAUCACUGUAAUGGGGUAAUGCGACUGAGCUGAGGGCCGGCUGAGAUGGCGAUGGGCCCCUCUGUGUGUUCAGGGGGAGGU